rnacentral:rRNA from 1 species
GACGAACGCUGGCGGCGUGCUUAACACAUGCAAGUCGAACGGUAAGGCUCCAGCUUGCUGGGGUACACGAGUGGCGAACGGGUGAGUAACACGUGGGUGACCUGCCCUGCACUUCGGGAUAAGCCUGGGAAACUGGGUCUAAUACCGGAUAGGACCAUGGUGUGGAUAUUGUGGUGGAAAGUUUUUUCGGUGUGGGAUGGGCCCGCGGCCUAUCAGCUUGUUGUUGGGGUAAUGGCCUAGCAAGGCGGCGACGGGUAGCCGGCCUGAGAGGGUGGACGGCCACAUUGGGACUGAGACACGGCCCAGACUCCUACGGGAGGCAGCAGUGGGGAAUAUUGCACAAUGGGCGGAAGCCUGAUGCAGCGACGCCGCGUGCGGGAUGACGGCCUUCGGGUUGUAAACACCUUUCACCAUCGUCGAAGGGUUUCUGACGGUAGAUGGAGAAGAAGCACCGGCUAACUACGUG